rnacentral:lncRNA from 1 species
GGUUCCUAAAGAUAGAGAGCAAUCUGAGAUAGUUUGUGUUUAGCUUAUACCAGUUUAUGUUUAUUUUUUAAUAUUUUUAUUUAUUCUAAGAUGAAUUGUGUUUAUUUCAAUAAGAGUUAGUGUUUAUGCUUCUUUCUCUUGUUUAUCUUGGGAGGAUCCUUAGAUCACCCAACUUGUGGACUCCAAGUAUGUGUUUAUUCUAUGGGGUUUGUAUUUAUUUCAGCAGAAUUUCUAUUUAUUAUAUAUAUUUUAUUUUUAUUAUAUGGC